rnacentral:sRNA from 12 species
AGUGUGAAUUAACACACAUGCAAACAAGUGUAAGGCGUAGCAAUACGACCGAUGCCGGAGCAGGACAGUAUGACAACGUGCCACUGAUCAUGUGCCUAAGAUC